UACGUAGGGGGCUAGCGUUGUCCGGAAUCAUUGGGCGUAAAGAGCGUGUAGGCGGCCCGGUAAGUCCGCUGUGAAAGUCGGGGGCUCAACCCUCGAAUGCUGGUGGAUACUGUCGGGCUAGAGUGCGGAAGAGGCGAGUGGAAUUCCUGGUGUAGCGGUGAAAUGCGCAGAUAUCAGGAGGAACACCAAUUGCGAAGGCAGCUCGCUGGGACGUAACUGACGCUGAGACGCGAAAGCGUGGGGAGCAAACAGG
rnacentral:rRNA from 1 species